UCAGUGCUGCUCGCUGAGAUCUGAGUCGGAAAUCUGCGGCCUUGUGGAGCCGAGUGGGGCGGAGUCCAGCGGUCCAGCUGGCCGGCCACACAGCCGUCAAGCGCAGCGCCACCUCCCGGCUGACCAUUUGGGUCCAGCUCCUGCAAUUUGCAAAUGGCAGUGGUGCACAGAGGGCAGCCAAGGUCUUCCCUCUCUCCUGUUCCCUCCUCCCCAGCCCCUCCCCCCUGCUUGCUGGGGCCUGGUUCCUGCAGUGCGGUGGAAGAUGCUAGCACGGAAGUGAGGCAUUCUUGUUGGAGAGCGAGUCCCGGGAGAACAGUUUCCCUGAGUGGCUGGUCCAUGUUGAAGGGGCAUAGCGGGCGCCGUGGGGGAGCUACAGCAGCCAGUCCCCGGUGCCACCGCCCUCCGCACAGCGUCCUGCACCUGCAGACUUGGCAGAAGCUCCCGCUCCAUUUCUUGCUGGGCUGGGAUGAUUCAGGAUCCCCCGCCGUCCAACAGAGUUGGCUCCUGACGGGGAACAGCGCUGAAGGAGAGCUUCUCAUUUCCCCCUUGACUCAGCCUGCGGACUCUGCUGGAAUAAAAGGAGGUUGGCAUUUAUGUGCUGUGAUUUCAGGGACACCAGAAAGGCCUUUCCUUUGCUCCCCUCACUGCCCCACUCCCACCCAAAAAAACCCCCCAGAAAACUCUCUCCUCUACGUUGCCUGCUGAAAUUCAACUAAUGGGAUUUUGUUCUUUUAGUUAAGUCGUUUAAAUGCAAAUU